rnacentral:rRNA from 1 species
CCGAAUACAUUAGCAUGGGAUAAUGGAAUAGGACCCUGUCCUCCUAUUUUCAGUUGGUUUUGGCAGCGCGAGGACUAGGGUAAUGAUUAAUAGGGAUAGUUGGGGGCAUUAAUAUUUAAUUGUCAGAGGUGAAAUUCUUGGAUUUAUGAAAGAUUAACUUCUGCGAAAGCAUCUGCCAAGGAUGUUUUCAUUAAUCAAGAACGAAAGUUAGGGGAUCGAAGACGAUCAGAUACCGUCGUAGUCUUAACCAUAAACGAUGCCGACCAGCGAUUAGGAGACGUUGAAUACAAAACACCACCAUCGGUGCGGUCNUCCUUGGCNNNNNNNUNUNNAAAAGCCAGCG